rnacentral:snoRNA from 1 species
UGGGUCAGAGACUACUGGUGGUGUAUGAGUGAAAUAUGAUGAAUACAUCUAGAACUCUGAGGUCCAU